rnacentral:rRNA from 1 species
GACGAAGGUGGCGAGCGUUGUUCGGAAUCACUGGGCAUAAAGCGCACGUAGGCGGCGACGUAAGUUGGGUGUGAAAUCCCUCGGCCCAACCGAGGAACUGCGCCCAGUACUGCGUUGCUUGAGGAUCCAAGGGGUGCAUGGAAUUCCCGGUGGAGCGGUGAAAUGCGUUGAUAUCGGGAGGAACACCGGUGGCGAAGGCGGUUCUCUGGGCCUUACCUGACGCUGAGGAGCGAAAGCGUGGGGAGCGAACAGG